AAAUUGGGGGACUAACAGAAAUGGCGGGCGGAAGGCUGGCCAAUGAGGCUCCCGGAAGGGCGGUGGGCGGGGCCCCGCGGGAGCUUCGUCCUGAGGAGAGCGCUGGGCGCGUCCUGUGUGACUAAGGGUCACCCCUGCAGGUAGGCUGCGUGUGUCGCACGCCUCGCUGGGCCGGCUUCGUGACGUCGUAAAACGUGAAGAGAAAAUGCUCACUUCCGGUGACGUUCUUGCCUCCCCCGGCCCCGCACCCGCCGCCUGCCGCCCGCCACCCGCGCGCCGAGCUUGCACGUCAGGGACCAUGAAUGAGGCUCCCGGGUCCCGGUUCCCGAAGAGUCCGCGUUGUCGCUCCUCUCACUCAUCUUAAAAAAUAAUAUACAUCUGAUUUGAACGGACUGUUGCCGUCGCCAGCAGGUAGCUGAAUCCAGGCCAGAACUAACAUUUGCCCAAGACUGGGUCCCAAAAAGGUCAGCUGAGGCCAUGCAGCUCAUCUCCUCAUCCUAGAAGCCAGGUGAAUGGGGCAGCCACCAUCUCAGCUGUAGUCCAUCGCCAGUUCAAAGGGAAAGAGCAACAUUCUUCCUGCCUCAGAAAACAUUCUCUCACCAUCCAGCAGUCAUCCCUAAACUAAUGCUUUUGGUUGAUUUUAGGUAUCUUUUGUUGCAACAGCAGUUACCUGGCCUAUUCUGACCAAUGGGGAUACCCCCUGGAGCAGCAAUUACCCAUAGAGGAAAUAAGAGUAGUGGAGAGUGUCGGUACCCUCUUAAAGUUAGUGCUGAGGUUAGGGUAGGUUUAGGGUGUUGCUAAAGAUCAGCAUUCCUGGUUUGACCUUUAUCAAAACUCGUAAGUUUCUCACAGAGCAACACUUUUUCCACAGCCAGAGCCUGCAGCCGUGGUCCCACCCAGCUCUUCUGACAAAUACCUAGCAGCCAGCCAGUCACAGGGCCAGAAAGUAUGGUUGGCACAGCAAUUCCCCUCCCUGCUACUGAAAACAUAACUGUGCUGCAUCAUUCUCAUGUUUUAAAAUGGGCUUUUUCAAGCCACUGGAUCAUUUAGAACAUAUUUCUCAUGAGUUAUAUGACAUUUUAACUCUAUGCCCCUCCUUUUGAGUUUCAUUGCGAGUUUCCUGUUCAUGCUAAAGAUAGUCAUAAACAAACUCUGUGGUCUGUAUCUCAAAAAGGGAAACAUAUGUAAAGUCCGAUUAUCAUCUCUUUUCUCUGAGAAUGGAAGGGCUCUGCUUCCUACAGGGUAACGUGCAUUUGCUAAUCGCCCUUUGACUGGCAAUAAAUGGCUCCUCUGAACCGAUGGCCUCUCCUUUUUAGAAAUCAUUCAAAAGAAUCGGGUGGAUAGCUGCAACAUCUGAUUACAAAGUGACUCACUUUUGUCCAGUUACUGACUUCCCAGGAAAUGUUGCCAGUACUAGACGCUGAGAUUGGACUAUUUGAUUGCUCUAUACAAACAAAGCCUUAAUCUAGCUGUAAGGCUCAAAGAAAGACUCUACAGGCAAGUUAUGUGGUGCAACACUCUCUCGUGACUGUGGUGGGCAGUAGCAGUGAGUGGCAGCUCCCAACCAGGUGUCCACUUGGACUUCCUUCCAGAAGACUCUCCUGGCUCGUAGACCAGCAGAGUACCAGCUGGCCUGAAGGAGCUUGGGAUGGCCAGAGCCCAUCAGACGCAUCGCCUCAAGCCUAGAGUUGUCCCAUUCAUUCCCCCCAAUGCUGUAAUCAUAACUGAAGACCAAAACCACCAAGCACUCCUGCCACUGCUCUGCAGGCUGUAGUGAGAGGCAUCUCUGAGAGUAUUGUAUGAGAAUUUCAGUUGUUCCACAACAGAACGUUUGGCAUGGUCGCUGCUUUUUAAUUUUGGACAGUUGAAUAGGUAAAAAUACAGGUCAAAAAGGAAGAAUGAACAUCUAGAGAAAGAUCAAAAAUACAGAUACAGGAAUCAUCUAUGGAAUGUAAGACUUAGAGUCUUGGGGAUAAAUGAGAUUGUCAAGUGAAUCUUACUGAUUGCUACACAUGUUAACAAUAACAUCUCAUUUUAUCCACACAACAUUCUGCAAGAUGCAAAUCUAAGGACCAGAAAAUUAGCCACCAGAUCCUAGAAGCCAUCCUCAAAUCAAUAUGGUCUGAUUACCUACAAAGAUUUUUAAAAAUAAAGUCGAGGCUCAGAGACUUUUUCCUGGACUGAGAACUGCCCUACUCAUCUCUACACAGGGGCAAAGCGUCAAUGAAGCCUGAGGCACCGGGGCAAUUCUUCACCUCUGACCCACAGCAUGAGUCCUAAACUACCACCUAAAGAAAACACUUUAAAGGGAAACAUGUAAAUUAUAAUGAAGAUAAAGAAGAAAUGAAAAGCCUCAGGUACAAUGGCAGUAGCUGUUAAUAAAUAAACAUUAACAAAGGUUUCCAGAAAUUAAUCAGCACAGAUGGGCAUGGCAACCACUUGUGAAGGAAGCCUUCAUAGAAAUGCUUUGCUGCAAGGGUUCUGGGAAAUGCUGAGUGUCAUACACUGCCUGACCACUUUCUCCAUGAAGAUCCAUUGCUUCUUAGGCAAAACAAUGAAGAAAUAAAAACACGUUGAGUGCCUACCAUAUGCCAGAAACACUUGGCCAACCCAGUCUGGACAACAAGCUGAAAACCAGGGUUCUGAAAACUGGGCUUUAGAGGAAACUCUAGAGAAGCUGGGAAACAUGGGGAGAAAACCAACAUAGGCUGCGAGUCCCUGGCCCUGAUCUGAGGUGAUGAAGAAUCGAAACACCAGCAGAGGAAAGGAGUGAGAA